AGCCAUCGAACAGGAAUUUGAAAGGUUGAAGCUGUUGAAGCGCUCUGCCGUUUAGGAGCUCUUCCGGCAACGAAAAUGAUUUUGCUUCUGUUUACUAAGUCUCAACAUACAUUAUCGAAUGUUGAAGCUCAUAAAUGUUACCAUCGGCGAUUUUCUGCAGACGCCAACGACACGGAAUCUGGGAUCCAUGAGCAUCAGCUCCAUCAUGGGAUUUUUGGAUAGCUAGUUACGCAGGCAUGAUCUCAUAACUAGCUGGCCUUGCAGUAACCCUAGCCCUCAGGCCUGCGCAGAAACCCCGCACAUUGCAUCAUCCAGCAGAAACGCGCAGACGCAGUAGAUUUUUGAAGAUGAUUGCUGUUAUUCUUCGUUGGGCAU
rnacentral:sRNA from 1 species